GUUGAAACACUCGCUCUCGUAGGAUCACCGAAGUUAAGCAACGUCAAGUUUGCUCAGUAGUAGAUGGAUGACCACUUGGAAAUAAUAGGUGUUGCAUGC